GACGAACGCUGGCGGCGUGCUUAACACAUGCAAGUCGAACGGAAAGGCCCUGCUUGCAGGGUACUCGAGUGGCGAACGGGUGAGUAACACGUGGGUGAUCUGCCCUGCACUUCGGGAUAAGCCUGGGAAACUGGGUCUAAUACCGGAUAGGAGCCAUUUUUAGUGUGAUGGUUGGAAAGUUUUUUCGGUGUAGGAUGAGCUCGCGGCCUAUCAUCUUGUUGGUGGGGUAAUGGCCUACCAAGGCGGCGACGGGUAGCCGGCCUGAGAGGGUGGACGGCCACAGUGGGACUGAGAUACGGCCCAGACUCAGACGGGAGGAAGCAGUGGGGAAUAUUGCAAAAUGGGCGCAAGCAUGAUGCAGCGACGCCGAGUGGGGGAUGACGGCCUUCGGGUUGUAAACUACUUUCGCUAGGGACGAAGCUUUUUGUGACGGUACCUAGAUAAGAAGCACCGGCUAACUACGUGC
rnacentral:rRNA from 1 species